UUCCUCUAGGUGGCAGUGUCUGAUACACAAUGAUGACAUGAUUGCUCAGCGAUUUACUGCAGAGCAACUAUCUUAUCGCAAUCAUUAGUGUUAUGGUGGAUCUGGUGAAGAAGCUGUCAGCGAUCAGAACAUCAAUUUUGAAGAUGUUGAAAAUAAUAGUUUUGAGAAUAUGGUUGAGAUCACAAAUAUAAGCCAGAUACUGAAUAUACUGGGAAAUGAGCUCUAACGAGGACAGUGAUGAUGGAAGAAAAGCAUCUGCUCAAAUUGAGCCCUUUGAGUUCUAAAAGGACUCCAGUGCUGUCCAUCCUGCUGGCCACAUUAACCGUGUUUCCCCAGAUGUCAUACUGCGGUUUGUGAGCGCCGAUGACGCCUGCGAUCACGGGGCCGUGGUUUAUCCCUGAACAAAACACAACGCCAAUCUGUGACUCACAUUGAGAACAAUCAACCAUUUCACCAGUCAAAAGUUUGUAAUAAUUAGGAUUUUAGCAGCAAAUCAGCAUAUUAGAAUGAUUUCUGAAGGAUCAUGUGACAUUGUUACCGAUCCUCAGUUUGAAGCUGUUGAAUGAGUGCAUGUUGAUGUUUUCCAGCCUGCCCAUCAGAGCGAUGGCGAAGUCCAGCAUGCAGCGGAUGUGACUGUAUGACCUGUCACAGGCCUAUAGAUGGACAAACUGAUGAAAACUCGCAUCUCGCCACAUAUUUACAUAUUCAAAACAUGCCCUUUAAAACACAUGCAUGCACGUAUAUGCUCGCAGCUUACUAGUUGUUCCUCUGUUUUCGCAGGAUUGGUCAGUCCGGCAGCCGCCAUGUAGGUGCUGCCGAUGGUCUUGAUCUUCUCAACCGCACUGAAUUUUGGCUUGUUAAGGAGCUGUGAGAGAAGAACAGAUUAUGAGACAGGAUCAAUGACCAGGAAUGUCCUCCUUCCCUUCAAACUGGAAUUCCGGCUUCCGCCGUCUCCAUCCUCUACCUGGUAUUUCCCACCCAGAUGACCCAGCGUCUCCUCAGUGAUGUGGACUCUCCUGUGAGGGACGAUC